CACCAUUGUUCGACACUAAAAAACUAAACGCAAAAAAAUAACACUAUUAAACGUUUUUCGAACGCACCAAAGCAUUGAGCCAUAGACAACUGUCACUAACUUGUCAUUGUCGAUGCCAUUUCCUACAUUCGGCCAUUUUGUACAAAAUGGUGAAGGUUUAAAUAUCGACCGGCGGACAACUCUUUCGGAAAUCCAGUUUUACUAGCGGAAUCCUUAAGGAGAAAUGGCGCCUAAAAAAAUUACACGCCUGCACAAAUGGCUCAGGCUAUAGAAGCGGUCAAAAAAGGCGAAAAAAUUGCAAUUGCAGCAAACUAGUAUGGUGUGCCCAGGAUUACCCUAUAUGACAAAAUUUCGGGUAAAACUCCAGUCGAGUAUUCUAUGGGUCCUAGUACCUAUUUGUCUACAGAAGCAGAAAACCUUUUAGAAAAAUGGGUAAUUGACAUGGCGGGAAAACACAUUCCCAUUACAAGAGACGAAUUGCUUGACAGUGUGCAACGCAUUAUUAUGGACCAGAAGAUAAAAACGCCUUUUACUGACGAUAGACCAGGCAAGAAAUGGUAUAAUCUUUUUCUAAAAAGACAUCCUGCUUUGUUCAGACUCGCUCAGGUGAACAGCACAAAAUUUAACAACGGCGCGAGAUGCAGUAACGGAAGAAAAUUUAAAAAAAUGGUUUAAAGAAGUUGAAUCAAAUAUACAAGAAAACGAUCUAAAAGAAGCUUCGGAAGACCCUCAAAGAAUUUUUAAUACGGACGAGAGCGCCUUCUAUUUGUCCUCUAAAGCCGGGAAAGUUAUUGCAAGAAAAGGUGACAAACAUGUCUACCGAUCAUCUGGAGACGAUAAGGACAAUUUGACAGUGUUGAUUACCGGGAAUGCAGCUGGACAAUUGGCACCCACCAUGGUAGUGUAUGCCUAUGAGAGAGUUCCAUCUGCAAUUUCAUCUCCGUUUCCAAAAGAAUGGUCAAUUGGACGCACAGCAAGUGAUAGAGAGAGAUAGAGAGAAUAAGUAAUGAUUGUAGUGCCAUUGUUUUUUAUUUUAUGAUAAUUUAAAACAGUAAUAAAAGACUGAUUGAGACUUAAAAAGACUCAGGCCUAUAAGUUGAUUAAUAAUAAAAUACAGUUUUUAUUCUUAUAA